rnacentral:rRNA from 1 species
UACGAUGGGGGCAAGCGUUGUUCGGAAUUAUUGGGCGUAAAGGGCGCGUAGGCGGUUUGACAAGUCUGAUGUGAAAUCUCUGGGCUCAACCCAGAGUCUGCAUUAGAAACUGUCGGGCUUGAGUAUGGGAGAGGUGAGUGGAAUUUCCGGUGUAGCGGUGAAAUGCGUAGAUAUCGGAAGGAACACCUGUGGCGAAAGCGGCUCACUGGACCAUAACUGACGCUGAGGCGCGAAAGCUAGGGGAGCAAACAGG